UUUUCGGAUAGUGUAUCGUUUUUAUGACAUUUCUACUUCCAUCCCCCUUUUUCUUGACCAAAUGAAAUGGCUAUUAGGUUGUCAAGGUCAGCAGGGAAGUGUGGGAAGCCUGGUCCUCGCCGCCACCUUGCAGACGCCGUAUUGAUUCCGCUCCCUCGAGAUGUCUUCAGAUUCCGAGGAGGAGAAUGGUGUGCGGCGGGAUGCAGAGGACAGUGACGGGGGCCGCUACAGCCGACACUCCCGCUCUCGGUCUCGCUCCCGUUCCCGCUCCUCCGGCAGAACGCCACCGAGGGAGGAUGACCUCGACGACAACCACCAGGAGCAGGAUCGGAAGGAAAAUGGGAUGAGGGGCGGUGGCAGCGACGACUAUGACUCCAAGAAGUACGACGACAGAGACAGACAGAGGGACCGCAGCUUCUCCAUGUCCCCGCCAGCCAAGGACAACAAGGACUGGUCUUCAGGAGGGGGUGGCGGCGCAGCAGAUGACCACAAGAGGGUAUCGCGCAGUCGCAGCAAGAGCAAGCCGAGAGAGGUGGAUACAGCCAAGGAACAUAAGUCGAGUAGCAGCGGCUCAUCCUCGAAGAAGAAGUCACGCUCGAGGAGGUCACGCUCGCGGUCCAGAAGCAAGAGGAGGUCAAGGAGUCGGAGGCGCUCGAGGUCACGCUCCCGAUCCUACAACUCCAGGUCUCGCAGAAGAUCGCGUUCCAGGUCAAGGAGAAGAUCGAGGUCGAGGUCACGCAGACGGACACGCUCAAGGUCAAGGUCGAGAAGCGGCACGCCAGUGGACGGGGCGCGACUCCACGUGGCGGAACUAGAUGUUGAUACCCGCAAACGAGACCUGGAACGGGUGUUUGAAAAGUACGGCCGGCUGCGGGAGAUCUGGAUGGCGCGUAACCCUCCGUGUUUUGCCUUCGUGGUGUAUGCCCACCAGAAGGACGCUGACCGUGCCCUCAAGGAGACUGACGGCAUCAUGAUAGGCCACUGCCGCAUAAAAGUGACACAGGCCAGACCCCGGGUGCGUGGUGGCCGCAUGAGGGGCGGCUAUGACCCCAACCUGCGCUGCUACCAGUGUGGGGAGCUGGGACACUUCUCACGCAACUGUACUGACACCAAGUUUGGCUACAAGCGCCCUCCCACACCGCCAGGGGUGUGUUAUGGUUUGGUAAUGUGGUCAUUGGUUGGGUAAUUGGGAGAGGAGAAGCCGCUCCAGUGUAGUGCCGGGAUGAUGAUGAUGGUGAUGAUGGUGUCGGUGUCUCGGCGGGGUCUGUGAUGGGAGUCACGUGCCCCCCCCGCUCACUCACACACUCACUCCGCAUGAUGUAAGUCUACCCCACCACGCCAUCUCUCUCUUAUAGGUGAGGACUAGCGCAGCAGCCUAUCCCAUAAAAAAGAAAUUAUAAACAGCUUUAGCCUUUUAGUCAUCUUGCAUCAGAAUUCUACUACCUCUCACUCUCACUCACUCAUCCCAGACCCCAAGUAGAUCCACCACACACACACACGCACUCAAAGACAUGUAAGCUUUCCCUCCCACUACCAUUUCUUCCACUACCAUCAGCCAGCCCCCUCAGCCCACUUCUCCUGUCCUUAUUACAAGCUUAAGUGCUCUUUGUAUAAUUUUGUUGAUAAAUUUGCAGCUCUCACACACAGACACAGAGCAUUUUCUUUUCAAAGCCUGUCACGAGACCUUGCAUUUUGUUUUCUGUUCAGUACAUUUUGAUCUUUUGGUUCAGUUUGUAAAGUGUUCUAUAUUUUUUUUUUGCAUUUUGAUGAGAAUUUUGCAUAGCUAAGGGCAGUCAUGCUUUCUCACUGAUAACCCUGUCUGCUUUAUUUUACACACACACACACACACACACACACACACACACACACACACACACAUAUACAUAUACACACUCACAUUUAGUAUACACAUAAGUUCUAGACAUUCUGAAUUUCCUGUAAGCAGUUUAAAACUUACUCUAAGAUUAUAUGAAUAGACCAGUAUUGAUAUUUUUGAAUUAUGUAAAUUUUCAAGUUUUAGUUUCCAAAUAAAUUACAAAGUUUAGUCUUCAGCAGUUGAUGUAAAUUAUAGCUUAUCCAAUAUUGAUGGAUAAUUUUAUUGUUUAAUUUUGACAUAUGUUCUCCUUACUUGUAUGCCUAUGUUUAAUGUCUUUUUUUAUAUAUAUAUAUCUGUAUAUUGGCUGCGGUAUGUUGAGUGUAUUGGUGGUGGCAUUGUGACACUGGCUGACCUCACAGCCCCUUGGUGGUGGGCCCUCUGGCAGUGUGACCUCUACAACACCUUGCUCCUCACACCCAUCAUUGCUCCAUCCACACCCUCCUUCCCUUCCUCCCUCAGAGUCUGGAUCACAAACCUUUUUUCCUCAGUUUCACUCAUGCCAAGAUUCUCCUUUUUUUCCAGUGUUAUUGUCAGAUUUACACUAGGAUUAUUUUUUUGAAGCUUCUGUCAUUGCAUCAGGGUUGAUUGCCAAAUACUACUGUAGGAUUUUCAAAACUAAGUCGGCCGGGGUAGAGAAUUCCCUUCAUAUCUCGGUGAUAAUGUUCCCCCUAGAGUCCUACUGUCCCCUUGCAUUUAAUGUCCUGUAGCUUGAUUUAGCCAUCAAUUAUAUUUUGGCUGACCAAAUUAGGGAUUUUUUCUGAAAUUUCAAAGGCCUGCACCUUGCCUGUUCUUAUUAUCCUUUGGGGAGUUUCUGUCUGUAUGUUGGUAGACUGGUAGAGGGCACUGGAAUGCUGGGUUAAUCAGUUUCCAGUUUUGUAUCCUGAUGAUGAGCUCACCUUCUUGACUCCAAACUCAGCUCUCACUAAUCUCUGGUUCUGUCUUGUGUAAUGGAGGGUGAAGGCACUGAUUGAUAGCUGAACAAGUUACCAGGGCUCCUCUUGAUUCAUGACCCUCAAAUCAGCCCCCCCAAUCACAUAAUUUACCAAAAGCAACCCCCGUUUAUAGAAGAUAAAGCAUUUUUUUACUUUUUUUUUUUCUUUUGUACCAUUGAAUAAUAUACUCAUUCACCAAUUAAUUUCAGAAAUGUGAUAUGGCGGGGUCCACAGCUUUAGGGUGUUGUAAUUUGAGUGGUGUGGUGUUAGUGUGUUACUCUUGUCCGGUGAAGAAGGCAGCAGUGGUGUGGUAUCCAACAUGGGAGAUGGUGCUAUACGGACCACGAUAAGGGGUGAAGUCACCUCCUGCUUUGGCAAACAAAAGUUGCUGUCCAAAUACCCCCUUGAUUUUCAGAGUGAGGGACAGUGUUGCCACCCGGUGUGUGAGGUGGAGGGUGUAGUUAUGGUCCCACCGCAGGGGACGCCCACGCUCGCGGUCCAGGUCGCGCUCCCGUUACCGCAGCCGCUCAAGGUCUCGCUCAUGAGGUCCUUGAGCCGAGGGACCAACCAGCCUGCCAAAGGGGCGUGUGGGUACCCUGGACUGUCAACGUCGGCCCUUGGAACACUAGUGUCUGUCGGUGGUUCGCUGAAGGUGAAUUCUGGACUAUCAAUAAAUUAUUCAGUGGUAGAAAACCUGAGUUCUGUUUUGUCUGCCUCCAUUCAGUGUUAGUUGGCAAGUUCUAGCACAAACCAAUGAAAGAUUUUAGAACAUUGCCCUCACUCCAUCAGCCUCAGGACUGGUUGGUUUAAAGUUAAUUUGCCUUUUUCUGUUUAAGUACAUUCUGGGAGUACCCAACCACACUUCUUUAUUUAACAUUAUUGGUCAUGCCUGCUUUGAUUUCUGUUUGUAGGAUAAGUAAAAGACUUUUCAUGGUCAAUCACUAUAAGGAAUUGAUUGUACUUGAUGUGUAAGCAUUGAAAAUAAUAAAGAAUAAAAAGGAAGCAA